AUCCAUCAUUUAAUUUAACUUAGUAUAACUUUAAACUUUUAAGUUGCCAAAAAGAUUUUGAAAAUAAUUUUUAAGUAGGCAUACUUUAAAAAACAUAAUUAUUGAAAAGUUUAUAAACUUCUAUCCCACUUACAUUUAUUUAAUUUACUUAGUUUUAACAAAUUACCCCAGAUCACAUGAUCUUGAAAACUUAAAACUCCUCAUUGAGGUCUGAGGAGAUGGGACUGGAUUUUGCGAGGGUGGUUUAAGCCAGGGACUCAGAGUGCCUACAGGCGCCCACCACCACGCCCAGCUAAUUUUUUUGUAUUUUUAGUAGAGACGGGGUUUCACCGUGUUAGCCAAGAUGGUCUCGAUCUUAUGACCUUGUGAUCCGCCCACCUCGGCCUCCCAAAGUGCUGGGAUUACAGGCAUGAGCCACCAUGCCCGGCCUAUUUUAACAAGAUCUAUAUAGGAUUUUCUUGGUUUAAAUUUCGGAUUCUUGAUGUUAAGAUGUAAAGGGAGGGAAUCUUUCACAUGGGAAUUUCAUCUUCUAUUUUUAAGAAACAACACUGUUAGAGUGAUCUUUUCCACCGGCUGCCACUCAAGUGUCUUUAACUGAAAUCGUCAGUAUGCCAGCCUGGUACAUUUUUAACUCCUUCAGCAGGUAGUGUGUGAUAAACUCCCAAAGAAUGAGUAAGAGAAAGGAAUUUCAGAGGAGGAAGGCAUGCCUGUGGUUCAGGGGA
rnacentral:lncRNA from 1 species